UCAGGGGAAGAACUUCUUAUUCUACCAUCAACACCCAAAGCUGAAAUUCUAACCUUAAACUAUCCCCUG
rnacentral:tRNA from 1 species